rnacentral:lncRNA from 1 species
AGCCCUGCGCCUGAGGCUCCCUGGGGGGGAGGAGCUCUGGGCACAGAGGCACCAGCUGCCCCCCUUUGUGCAGAGUGGGCCCCGGCUUCUGUGCCAUCAUCUCCCACGAACUCCCGCCUGCCAAAUGCAAGGCUCCCGUCCUCCAGCGGCAAACCGCCCGUGGUCCCCCUCUGACUUUACAGGCCUCUUUCCCCCUGAAUGAAGGCAAUCUUUUUAUAUGUUGACCCUGUGGGUGUGGUGCCUCUUCCUUCGUUACCAGGAUCUCAGCUCUGACUGGGAUCUCAAGGGAGUGUCUGCAUGCAGCCAGUGUUCGAAUGCCCUCAACACUCAGGACGGAGGCCGAAUUCUGGCCUGGAAGGUCCUUGAGCUACCCAGCUCCUCUCCCCAGUUCUCCCUUUGAGGUUGUUCUUACCUGCCCUCGUGGGGGGGGCAAGCCAGUCCCUUCCCUCCACCCUCCGUUGAUCUGCAGAGGAGGUAUGAGGCCCCAGUUGCCCAACCUGUCCUGCCAAGCAGCACCUCCCAGCCCUUAAGCUCCGCCCCUGUUGGAGGGGGCCAAAAGCACCUGGGCAGAGAUGAAAGUGGACCUGCUCGCUUGGGGGCUGCUUGGGAGGUGCUGGUCGCAGAAGAGCUGGCCUGCGUCCCUUGGAGGGGAGGGGGCCCUUGGAGGUGUCCUUGAGGCUCAGGCGGGACUUCAGGCGGACCUCGGCCUAGGAAGAGCAUCUGCUGCUGCUGCUGCUGCUUUCAAAGUGGGUUGCAUUGAUUCCUCCCCAGGGUCGGCUUCCCUGGGCAGAGCUGCCUGCAGAGAGGUGAAAGGGGAGGACGGGAGUUGUAGCUACACAACUAAAGCCCCAUUUUGGUCCUUUGCAGUUUCAGCUGUUAGUGUUACCAGCACAGCAUGCCUUCUAUAGGUAAGUCCUCAUUCAGUGACCAUGUGUUCAACAACUUCAAAACUACAACACGACCAAAGGAAGGGGCUUUUGACCGUUCCUUGUAAAAGCCAUUAUUGCCAUUUGUGCACUUUGCUCCCUCCCUCUCCAUCCUGGUUAGUUUAAUUUUAAUUGAAUUUUAAAUGUAUGACCCUUAUUUAUUGUUUCAACGUUUUAUAGUGGAUUUUAAUUCAAUGCCUGUGUGAUGCCUAGAAUUGCCUCUGGUGAGAUGGGUGGCAUACAAGGUAGAUAUACAUAGAUGAUAGAUGAUGAUAGAUAGAUAGACAGACAGACAGACAGACAGAUGAUAGAUGCAGAUGAUAGAGAUGGAUAGAUGAUAGACAGACAG